UACGAAGGGGGCUAGCGUUGCUCGGAAUUACUGGGCGUAAAGCGCACGUAGGCGGCUUUCUAAGUCGGGGGUGAAAUCCUGGAGCUCAACUCCAGAACUGCCUUCGAUACUGGAAAGCUCGAGUCCGGGAGAGGUGAGUGGAACUGCGAGUGUAGAGGUGAAAUUCGUAGAUAUUCGCAAGAACACCAGUGGCGAAGGCGGCUCACUGGCCCGGUACUGACGCUGAGGUGCGAAAGCUAGGGGAGCAAACGGG
rnacentral:rRNA from 1 species